GACAUGAUUUGUUUUAAAUUAACUGCUCAGUGUAAAGUCAAACGUUGACUCAAAAAAAAAGAGAUUAUAAGUUUUGAUCUUAGAACACUGCAAUUUUCACAUACAAAUCUUUGCACUUGCAUUGCUAGCUCUGCCUCUGGGGAUUUUUUUUUAUAAGCAAUUUGUUGAUUUUAGAUUGUACAUGGUAUACAGUACUUGCGACAUGAAAGAAAUGAUGAAUAUUUAUUCAGAUGUGAUGCACAUGGGACAAAUCCUGGGUAGAACCUGAAACCCUGAACCAUGGAUUAGCUUUUUGAAGGUAAUUUAUCUAACAUUAGUUUACUUGCACUGAGAAAUUUGCAUGCCAUACACUUGUUAUUACUGACUUACAAUGUAGUGUUCUUAAAUUCUUUGUUAAAAUUUAGGAUAAGCUUACAAUAUGCAUCAGGUUUAUGAAAUCUUCAAAUCUUGUUUUUUUUUAAACAAAAGCAGAUACUUAAAAAAAAAAAACAUUGAUAAACUCAAGAUUUCUCUAAUUAUAAUAAUAAAUAAAUCACGGCUGACUUUUUUAUGCUCAUGUUCAGUUGAUGAAGUUUUGAAAAUAAAUCUCGUAUCCUACCUGUAAAUCUGCAUUGUUGCCAAGGUAUUUAUUUUGUUUCUUUUCAGGAAAUGGUUGUCAAUGAUGUUGCAUAUUGUCUUGGGUUUUAGUUGCAUGGGGAUAGUCGACUUACUGGAAAUAUGUGGACCCUAGUGAUUGUUGUCUGGUGGAAGAUGGCCAUUGACGUGAUAACUAAUCUGUUGGUCAUUGUGUAGAAGAGGGGCAUUGAAGAUAAAUAAGUGGGCAGUUUUAUCAUCUUUGAAUAGAUUUUCAAUGCAAUAGUUUCAAUUUUGCCAUAGAUAAUUGAAAAAGUUUCAGGUUCCAAAGGACAAUACCAUAUACUGGCAGCAAAUAAUUUUUUCUUGUGCAUUAUCCCUAUAUGCAUUUAGAUCCUUGAUGUCUGACGUCCUGCCUUGAUGUUUUCUUUUGUCUAUUAAUUUAGAUUUUAAACAACUUAUACUUUUUAUUCAUGGAUUUAUUAUUUGGAUUUUGAUUGUGCUAUCUAGUAAAACAUGCAGUGUUGUAGAAUUUUUUUCCAUUGGGACCAACAUCUUAGCAUGGGAAUGACCACCUACCUUCAUUGCAGAUAUUAGUGGGAAUGGAAUGCAAAGACUGGAAAAAAUAUGAUAUAUUAAAUAAUUUAAAACAAGAUUUUUUUCCUCCUUGACAGCCUUUGAUUAAUACAACUUAAAUAGCCUUGAUUUGACUCUUUCUGUUUGUUUCAGAGAUUCUUUCUUGCAUUUAAAAUUUCUGUGUAACCGCAAAGGAUUUAGAAUAAUAAAUUGCAUUAAACAGUCAUUGAAAUGGCAGGGAAUUAAAAAUAUUAUUUGCUAUAUAUUGUAAUCUUGAGUAUUUAUCUAGGUGAUGUGGUUUGUAGAUUAAUAACCCUAAGCAAUUCUUUAAAUUUUAGACGCAUUAAACAAUUGUAUCUAUACCUGCUAAAUCAUAUACAAGUACCUUGUAACUAAUAGAUUAAUUCACUGAUUUUUAUCCAAUCUAAUACAGAUUAGUUAUAACAGCUUUGUUGACCUUGAGCAAUUUGGUGUAAGUGUUUUGAAGUUUGUUUCCAUCUUAUUUCUCAGCACCAACCAAUGAAACUACAAAUGUCGGAAUGUGCAAGUAGACAAGUUACGGUAACGAUAUGAAAAAGAAUUUUCAGAAAUCCUGCAUCUAGGACUUCACAUAAGUACAAAUGUACACCACAGAUUUGGAUCACUUGUUUAUAGAAUUUAUUUAUUUAAUUGGACAACUUCUCAAAGAAAAGCCAAAUAAUAUGGUUAUAGCUAGGAUUGAUUUGUAGAAAUUUGUUGAAAGGAUUCACAAGAUAUGAAACCAUGCCAAUUUAUAUUGAAAGAAAUUAAAGUUGAGAAAGUUCACCUAUAAAUAUAAAAUACCAAGUUUGACUUGAUACUGAAACGAAUUCUGAGUAUUGGAUGUUUGUUGCAGGUUUCCAUUUCUGUUUUAAUUUAGAAAUCUACAAAAUGAAAAUGCAGGAAUGGCUGUAUAGUUUAUAUAAGAUCAGAAUAUUUGAUAAAAAGGGAUAGAUAUAUUUGGACAAAGAUGAGACCUCAUCCUUGAAAUUUUGAUAUAGUUUUCACACGCUGUGUGUUACCCUUUGAAGCUUUGUGGUGGAAUAGGGUUAUAUUUGGACAUACAAGCUAUUUAUACAUUUUACUAUCAGCUAGUAUACGUGUGCGGGAUGCAUCGGAUUAAUUAAAUUAUUUUAUAGUUAAGAGGACUAUCUUAUUGGAUAUAACCAUAAUAGAUGCAAGACAUCCCUCAAUAUAGAAGUACAUCCCUCAAAAAUGAAGGCUAAAUAUGGCAAAUAUGAUUGAACCAACAAGAAAACCAUUAGCAAGAAAAUAAAUGAUAAUUUGUUUAAAGAAUUUUAUAAUAGCUAUACUUCAGUUUGCAGACCAUAUCAACCUUUUGAUCUAGAUUCCUUUCAGAUUAUCUAUCCAUUGUUUCCAAACAGGUCUAAUUUAUGAUUUAGCAAGUGAGGAAAUGCUCGCCCAUUCUGCUGUAAAUGGACAAUGCUUCAUCUUAUUCUUGGGAUAUUUUCACAUGCUAUAACUGAAAGCUUUCACUGGACUAGGGUUGUAUAUUGGAACAGAUGUAUAUAAAAACUACAUAGAUUAACAACAAACUCAAAGUAAUUGAUUAGAAGCAAGUGAACCCUGAAAAAAACUGACGGGCAAUAAGGAUUGCACCAAAUUAAUAGGUAUAAAUAGGUCAUUUACAAAAUUUAUGAAGGUUUUAGCAAUUCAGAUGUUGUUUGGGAAAAUGCAGUCGGGAUUCCUUUCAGCUUAAAAUGUCGUAAAUCUAGUGUUAAAUUCAGCAUUUUGUGAGGCAAGGCUUGACCAUAAACGGCAUUCUGCAGUAAAUGGAUAAUACUUCUUGGCGUUUAAAUACUUGUAAUUUUCAUACCUUUUAUUCAGGCUUCCUGUAAUCAAUGCAGUCCAGACUUCAAGGAUAAGAUUUCUUCCAGAUUAAUAUGUCCUUUGCUUUAAUCCAAAUUCAAACAGAUCUGAGGUAAAAUUAAGCAUUUGUGAGGCAGUGCUCCACCUUUUCAAAGUAAAUGGAUAAUGCCAUGUAUCUCCUGCUGAAUAGAUCAAUUUUUGGAUUGAAUUCAUUUGAAGUCAAUUUUUUGCAAACCAUCUAUUUAGGUUACCAGAUCGAGAAACCCUUCAAGAUGAUUCUAAAAGCCAGUCAACACAAGUAGAUUCUUCAGGAUUCUUAUUGGUUGAAAUUAAUUGGUUCAUCUAUUUCAGAUUUUUAGAUGUAAUGAAAUUAUCAAAAGGUUUCUUUGCAUUCAGUCAACUUAAACAGGACAAAAAAAUCCAAAAAAGAAUUCUUAAUAUUCUAGGAAGACUAGUUUAAAUGUGCUGUUUGCCCAAAUAAAACCAAGGAAAAGAAGACUGAACUAAACAAAACCACUUUAUUUCCAAAUUAUAUUCAAAUGAUGUCAAAGGUUUUUGCAGUAAAAAAGAUUUAUUUAAGAAGAGACCACAACUGCAAUGGGAUUUCUUUCAGGUUUGGAUGUUAAAAAGAAAAGUUCUGGUGUUUGAUAUUUUGAAAAAGGAUAGAAGUACCUUUGCAGUUUUAUCCAGUAAAAUUUUCAGAUGUCUUGAUCAAAUAUAGGAACCAAAUCCCUAUUAGAUGCAAAAAGAAAUACAAUUUCAGCUCAAGCAUGGACUUUUUAAAAUUUUAUCAUUGCACAUUUCUAAUACAGUUGAACAUAACCAACAGCCCAUGUGGAUGCGCUCUUUAUGAAAUAUCUACCCAAACCGACUUGAAAUCAGUAAAGAAAAUGAAAGGUAUCGCAAUAUAAAUUUUAUCACAUUGGUCAAAACCCAUUAGAAGAUAAUAGGACACAGCUUAGAGUUGUAUCAACUUGUAUUCAAACUAAAGCGUCUUAGAAGAUUGUCAUAUUUCAGAUCCAGUUUCAAGUCUAAUGCUUAAAGUUAAAUAUAAAAUGCAGAGGUUUUCAAUAUCAAGAUGGAUUAUGUACCAACAUGUACCUAGUAGAAAUUUAUUUUAAUUUUAGACGUGCUUCCAUAUAAACAACAAAGCUUUAAAAGAAGGGGAAAGAAAAGCCACCCAAAGGACUAAUUAUAGAAUUAUAUCAUCACAUAGUCAAGCAAUUGUGGCUCUAAUAACAAAUUAUAAUUUUAGAAUUUGCAAGACUUCACUAACAAAGGGAAUAUAAAAAUAGGCAAAACUAAUCAAGAUGCUUCCAUAUCAGGUACAAGGCUGACUUUGCACUUCCAUAUGAGGUACAAGGCUGACUUUGCAAAGCACCAAUGGAAGAUUAAACUCUGCUAACCUAAUCAACAAUAUCAUAAGAUAUAUAAAGUCCUGUUUUAAGGUGUAACCAAUAUUUGCAGAGGGAAGUCAUAAAGGGAAGUAACUUGAACUCAUGGAUUUAUGUUUCUUUAUUGAAGUUCUAGCAGACAACAGAUCUACUGUUGGACAGCGUAAUAUUUUUAGGUUAAGCGAUUGGGUGUUCACAAUUUGAUAUUUCGACAAAGAACCCUUGCAGUACAGUAACUGAUGUUAAAAAACAAACUUAAUUUUUUUCCAAUUCAAACAGAAAUGUAUAUAUGCUAGCAUACAACUGAACUACACAACAUUUUUAGCCUUUUAAGGAAAAGAUGAAUAGUGUCAAUUGAUUCAAAGCUUUUGAGAAAAAGAAAUGGAAUGAAACCGAUUUUCAGGAGAAAAAAUGUAGUUUUAAUUGCAGAACCACUAUCAACAUUUAGACCCAUUACUGAAUUUGAUGAAGCUAAGUUGAGGCUUUUUAUAUAUUGUUUUCCAUUUACCAAGCCUGAAGAUAAUGUGUUCAUGUAUUCAGGCAACAAAUAUUUCUUUUCAUAGAAACAGUCGGGAGGCUCUUUUAAAAGAAGCAGUUUAAAAGCUGUAAAGAAUUCACAGGUUUAAGAUUUGGAAGAAGAGGUGGCCAUUUCAAGAAGAAACUAGUAUUUAUAUCCAUGAAUAUGCGUUCUUUAGUGUUUAAUUAGAUGUUCCAAAAUUUUAAUUCCAAGCUUAAUCAUGAAGUUAAUACAGGUCUCAAGUUAUAAUCUUGAAAACAUUGCAGAAUCAAAUAAUUAAUUAAUGCACUUUUCAAUUUAACAAGAAAUUUCUUUGAGUUGAAACAUUUUCUUUUUAGUUAUAAUUAUAAUUGCUAUAGUAUGAGUUUCUUAAUAACUUAAGCUUAAAUAUAUAUAUUCACAACUUUAAAUUAUGGAUGUUGCAUGAAGUCCGAAAGUUUAUAGUUGUAAAUCUUGAGGGUUUGGGAGGGAUUAAUCACUUCACUCUUAAUAGUGCUGUCAUUGUAUCAAGAUGCUGAAUGAAUGUGAAGCUUGCAUAUUUUGAUGAAUCGCUAGCCUGUACAGUGAACCAAAAAUUGGAGGUAGUGUUGUCUGUCUGUAUCAUUGAAACAAUUAUUUGCCUGAAACUUUUUUGAUUUGAUAAACAUUAAGCAUGUGUUCAAAAAAUUAUGGUUUCUUUUUUGUAAAAGACAUUUGAAAUGCUUUAUAUUCACUUUGAAAAUAUAGAUAUAAUCAAAUAACAGUAAUUAAUACUUAAAUAUUAUCAAAAUUUUUGUGAAUGUAUAUACAUGCUGGUAUGCAAAUGGGAGGGGUUGAUUUUCAGGGCAGUUUCAUUGUUUUCAUAACAAGACCUGCUGUGUGUUGAGGGAAAUCUACAUGCCACUAUGGUAGUAAGAGGAAAGGGAUUAAAGCUAGGUUAAUGGUCCUUAUCCAGAUAUAUGCUGUCUCCUUCAAUCCAAACGCCAGAUAAUAUAGAAGCUUAACAAAAUAUCUGCGGUAUGAAGUAGUUGUAAAAAUGCAUGAAAUAUUUAAAAAGUUUUGUUUAUAACUUUCUAAUACAACUUGUUUGAUUUCUCAUUUGGACAAAGAAUAAUGCACCUUUGAAGUUAUCUUGCUACCUAUAGUAUACUUAAUCAUCUUCAAAUAGCCUUUCAAUUUUUGCUUACUUUUGAAGUUAAUAUUUUCAAGGUAAAUUAAUGUAAAUAAAUUAUAGAUUAACUUCUAACUAUAAAUGCAUUAGUCUACAGUUGUAGUUUGGGGGAGGGGAUUAAUAUGCAAUAGAUUUUUUUGGCAGUGAAUGUGGUGAUCAUUAACAGCAGAUUUCUGCACAUGCACUAGGCCCAGUUGUGAUACAGCACAUCUGGAAUGGAGUCCAAUUUAGUAAUGAUAUGAGAAAAUAUGUAGUGUAUAUUCCAACAAUGGAAGCACAGAAAAGGUUGUCAAGUAUGUUAUAAAGAUCAUUAUGGGAUUGAGAAGUCUGAUGUAAAAUGUAUACUGUAUUGAAAGUAAGAACACAUUUAUUGAUAUACAAAUUUAUUGGUAAUUUACAGUCAUGACUGUUGAUAAAUAUUUUAUUGUAGAUUUUGAUUGUCAUGUUUUUUUAAAAAUUCUUAUACAAUGCAUACAUAUCACAAAUUGCUUGAUUAAUAGAGUUGUCUAAAGCAUGUUUAACAGGAAAAAUAGUCUUAUUUUGCUACAUUUGUCUGGUGUUUUAUAUCAUAUACAAAUAUAAGUUUUGGCAAAUAACAGUAUCAUUUGUAUUAAUAUUUUUGUGUGAUUGUUAAUAUCUAUGCAUCAGGAAGGGUUGAUUUUCAGUGCAUUUUCCAUGUCCUCAAAGAUCUGUUGUAUGUUGAGGGAAAUCUGUAUGCCACUCUAAUCAAAAGGGUAAUAAAUGUCGGUCCAGGCUGUCUUCUCUCCUAUCCCAAGAUGUUCCAUGCUAGAAGCUUUUUCACCAAAUCUGCGGUAUGAAGUAGUUGGUAAAUUUGCAUGAAAUAUUUGAAGUUUUGUUAGCUGUUUAAUAACACUUGAAAGGAUUUCUCACCUGUACAAAAAUAAAUGCACCUUUGAAGUGUACCUUGCUUCCUAUAAUAUACUUAAUCAUCUUCAAGUAGCUUUUUCAAUUUUCAUCAAUAAAUUAAUUUUCUGAAGUACAGUAUUAUAAAUGUAUGCUUAACUGCUAACUAUAUAAAUGCAUUAGUCUACAGUUGUAGUUUGGGGGAGGGGAUUAAUAUGCAAUAGACUUUUUUGGCAGUGAAUGUGGUGAUCAUUAACAGCAGAUUUCUGCACAUGCACUUGACCCAGUAUAAUACAGCACAUCUCCUGGAAUGGAGUCCCAUUUAGUAAUAACCCUAAUGAAGAUGAUACCAUGUGUAUAAUGAGAAGAAACAAAAUCUGUACAGAGAUGUGGAGUAAUAUUGAGUUCAGUUGGUAAGCCCAUUUUCUAAAUGGCAUUUUUGUUUGUUAAGUAAAAUAGAACUGUUGAAACUUUACAGAAUUUAUUUUUUAAAAUGUGUGUUGACAAAGAAAUUAAAUGUAGAAUUAAUGCAAAAUAUUUGUGACCUUAAUUAGAUAUUAAUAAUAACAGUAACAUGAUUAUCAGAUAAAAAGGUCUAAUUAAUUCAAAUUUUGAUACACUUCUGAAAAAAUUGAAGAAAUAUCUUUUUAGCAUAAAGGUACUGGAAGUAUACAGUAAUUUUGUAGUUAACUUUAUAAUCAUAAUGGGGGGAUUGGGAAUAUAUAUAUUUUUUAAUUGCUACAGAUAGCGAUAUUAUCAUGUACUCCUUUCCGUGACCAGUUCUAAAAGGAACAAUCUCUGUGGUCGUAUUUGGCCAGCAUCUGACCCUGUUGCUUUAAAGGGAAGAUAAAUUUUACAGGUAUUGUGUUUGAAUCUUAUUGUUCUGUGUUGAUCUCAUGAUUUAUGAUGAAUUCUUGUGAAUGGUAAUUUCUUUCCUUUCAUUGUUUCAGCAACUAAUUUUACAAAGAAAAUAGAUUUUUUAUGGGUUAUAUAAGAUUAAAAAUUUUAGGAAUCCAGCUUUUAAAGUUUGUUUUCAGGUCUGACAUGAAUUUAAAGGCAAAUGAGGAUUUGAUUUUCUAAAAACAAAUUUGGGUGGGGGUUUGUGUACUUUUAAUCAUUUAUAGUUUAUUGUCAGGAAAUGACUAUGUUGAGAGAUAAGAAAAUAGAUCAGUGACCCCAAGAGUGACCUGGUAACCAUUAUAACUUAUUUUGUGUUGUACUGUAUUUUAUUUAGUGUUUGAUUUUCAAAUGAAAUAUAAAUCAUUAUUAAUUUAAAAUCAAUUAAUUUCAUAAUAAUUUCAUAAAUCAUAUUUUUAUGUGGGAGGUUUCUCAACUUGCAUUCAAAAUUUUUUGUGAAUCAAACUACCUAAAAGUGGGAAAUUUGAUGGGAAAGGGCAACUAAUCAUAUCUUUUGUCAGUGAUACCUUUGGUAAUAGGAAGACUCAGCUUGUGAUUUGCUAGCUUAAGUUAAGUAUGAAAGAAACCUAGUAUGGGACUUAACAGAUUGAAUGCUGCUAAAUAUGUGAAAAUAUGCAGGUUAAAUUUCUUGAUGGGAAGCACAGAAAAGGUUGUCAAUAUGCAGGUUAAAUUUCUUGAUGGGAAGCACAGAAAAGGUUGUCAAUAUGCAGGUUAAAUUUCUUGAUGGGAAGCACAGAAAAGGUUGUCAAUAUGCAGGUUAAAUUUCUUGAUGGGAAGCACAGAAAAGGUUGUCAAUAUGCAGAUUAAAUUUCUUGAUGGGAAGCACAGAAAAGGUUGUCAAGUAUGUUUAAAGAUCCUCAUGGGGCAAAGGACAUCGAUGUAAAAUGUAUACUGUAUUGAAAGUAAGAACACAUUUAUUGAUAUACAGAUUAAUUAGUUAUAAUUUAUAGUUUUGACAAACAUGUUAUUGUAGAUGUUUGAUUGUCAUGGUUUGUUUUAUAAAUAUUGUAUCUCUUGAUAAUUUGAUUUAAACUAAAUCUUUAAGCAUGUUUAACAGUAAAGAUGAUGCUUCAUUUUGCAAUAAAUGUCUGAAAUUUUAUACCAUAUGAAAAUAUAAGUUUUGGCAAAUAACAGUAACACUUGUAAUAAUAUUUUUAUGUGAUCGUAAAUAUCUAUGCAUUGAGAGGGGUUGAUUUUCAGUUGCAUUUUCCAAGAUCUGUUGUAUGUUGAGGGAAAUCUGUAUGCCACUGUGAUCAUAAUGGGUUAUAAAUGUCAGUCCAGGCUGUCUUCUCUCCAAUCCCAAGAUGGUCCAGAAGCUUUUCCACUAAAUCUGCGGUAUGAAGUAGUUGGUUAAUUUGCAUGAAAUAUUUGAAGUUUUGUUAUCCUUUAAAUACCACUUGAAGGAUUUCUCACUUGUACAAAGAAUAAAUGCACCUUUGAAGUGUCUCUUACUACCUCUAAUAUACUUAAUAAUUUGAAAUAGCAUUUGAAAUUUUUGCUUAAUUUUGAAGUUAUAUUUCAGUAAACUUAAUUUUAAAUGAAAUACAGUUUUAAAAGUUUGCUUUUCUGCUAAUUAUAAUACAUUUGUUCAGUUUGAGGGAGGGGAUUAAUAUGAAAUAGAUUUUCUUGGCAGUGUUAUAUCUUAAUCACGAACAGCAGAUUUUUGCACAUGUGCUUUGCCUAGUUGUCAUGCUGCAUUUAUCUCCGCCAUUUCCAUCCUACUAAAAACCCUAAUGAUGAUGAUACUAUGUGUAUAAUGUAAUGAGGUGAAAAAGGAAAUAUGUUAUAAGAUGUGGAGUAAAUUGAGUUCAAAUUGGUAAGCCCAUUUUCUUAUUGUCUUGCUGAAGUUCAGCCAUGAUUUUGCAAAGUAAAAAAGAAUUUUAGAAUGCAGUAUUAAUUUUUGAGGACAAUUGAAAAGUAUUCAAAUGUAAAAUAAUUGUAACCAAAAUAUUAUAUUUAUAUCUUAUGAAAUGGUGAAAGAAAGAACUUGUUACUUUUGUUAAAGUUUUCAUCAGCAGCCUUCUAGCUUUUAAUAGUUUAUUUUGGAACAUGAAAAGAUAAAAUGAGUAUUUGAUCUUUUAGAAAUUAACUGGGGAGGGGGUUUGUGUAUUUUUAAUCUCGUAUAGUUUAUUGUCAGGAAAUAGAGGUUUAUUGUCGGGAAUUGUUGAGAAAUAGAAAAUAGAAAUGUGAACUGAAGAGUGGUAACCAUUAUAACUUAUCGAGCGUUGUCAUUAUUUUGCUAAUUGAAUAAUUCAAAUGAAAUAUAAAUCAGUUUUGAUAUUAACUUAUUUCAGUAUUCAGAUUUUAAUGUGGUGGUUUCUUGACUUGUAUUAAAAUUUUCUGUGAAUUAAGCUUUUAAGGUUAAUUAAUAGUGGGAGAGUGGUGGGGGAACUGCAUUACUAAUAAUUUAUUUGUCAAACUCCUUGAAAACAGCAGGUUAACUUGCAGUGAUAAGGCAUCCUCACAGUUUCUUGUAUUGAUCCUGCUUGAAAGAAUCAUUUCCCAUGUAAAAAUGUAAAGGUAUAGAGAGAUUAACACGUCCUGACCAGAUUAGUAGCUUAAAACUGCCUUAAAGUAGAGAAGUUCAUGAAAGAUCAUAUGCAUAACAAUGAGUUGUAAAAUGGUAACUUAUUUUUAUGUUGGUGUAUUAUGUAAAUGGUUUCAAACAUCAUGUCAAAACAAGUUUUCUCAUAUCUGUACUAUUUAAAUUGCAAACAUAAUUGAUAUACAAUCAAUUUUUGAUGAUAUCUGUAUUGUAAAUAAUAUCAAUUUUCUAUAAUUAUUUAUAAAUCUUAAUUUCUGUUACUAUAUUGUCAGUACAUUAAUUGGUCAAAUUAGAAAAAUAAGGGGUUAGGCUGUUGCUAACUAAUUUUUUACCAGCUAAGUAUGACCUGUGGAAGAAUGUCCUGAAAAAUAGAGUAAAGAAGCAUAGCAUGUGGUGUGACAGAAAGCUUGAAACCUACAGUAAAGUUAACAGAAAGAGGUUCAUUAUGAUAGCCUGUAUAAAAUAAUAUUUAGUGGAAAGACCCAGAGACAAAAGAAUAGUGUUUCUUUUCUCAUUAGAAAAAUUGAAAUUUGAAUAUAUUGAAUGUUUUUUUAUCUAUAGUAAAUAUAUAUCUUGUGAAAAUGUUGAGAAUUGUAUAGGUUAACCAAUGCUUAAUGAAUCAUUGUUAUCAAAACUUCUACUGGAUUAAUUUAUAUUUUAAUUAUUUGAAAUUUAUCUUCAGUUUGAACUUAUGGAUAAAAAGGGGUAGGGAAGGGUUAUGCUGAUAAUAUUCUUCUUGAAACUAUUUGAAUGACAGAUCAUGCUUGAGAUAUUGGACAGUUUGUAUUGAAGAAAUUUCCAUAAAUUAUACAGUAACAAGUUUGACCUGUAAAGUAAUAGCUUGAAAGUUGAACCUACACAGAAUGUUUGAGGGUAAAUAGUAAGUGGAUCAGAUUAUGCUUCAUAUUUUGUGAAAGGCGAUCUAAUUGUCAGUUAUCUUUAUCAGAUUGUUAUCUUUAUGUUCAAAGAUUAUAUCUUGUAUACAAAUAGAAAGUUAAAAUGUCAUUUCAGAAUUUAAAAUGAAUCAGUGUUAAAGUUGAAUAUAUCAAUUUUAGCAAAGUGUAAAUUAUUUAAGUAUGCAAAUCCUUUUUGUGUAGCUAAAUAUUUAGGUUUCUGGGUUAAAGUUGGGUUGGGGAGGGAUGGGGUAACCUAUAAUAUCUUAUUUGUCAGUGAACACAAGUCCUUGAAGAUACCAGAUUCACAUUCAGUGGAAAAGACCCUAGAUCUGCUUCCUGUGAUAGUCCUUGUACCCAGUUCCCAGGUAGAUAGAAAGAUGCUCCUUGUUCAAGAAAAGUUUGAAACUAGGUGUCAAAUUUGAAAAAGUUUCAUUUGAGUAAGCUGUGAAUAUGGCAUGAUUUAAUUUGUAAUAUAAUAUAUUUUGAGAAUUUAAGAAUGCUUUAAUAUUAGUAUAAAUUUAAAAUAUAUAUUCAAUAAUGGUUAAAAUUUAUCAGAUAUGUUAUUAAUAUUAAUAAGUUAAUUCAGAAACUGGGGGAUCGGGUAUGACUAACAUUUCUUAUUACCAGCAAAAGUUUCAAAAAAAAGGAUGGUAACGUGCGGAUAUUGGCCCAAGGGAUAGUACAUCCUGUGACCAAAAGGUUUGAAACAAGUACAGUAAAGUUUGAAUAAAGUGAUGUAUAAUAAAAGACCUGAAGCAGAGUAUGACAUGAAAAAGAGGCCUUGACAAAAGAAUGGUAUUUCUAUCAUAGUUAUCUAUAUUUUUUAUAUUAGAUUAUUUUUAUUUUAAUAAGUUGUGCUGUUGUAUUAUUAACUAUAUUAAAAAGAAAAUGACGUUUUAUUAAGUUGCAGAGGGUUUUUUUCUUCAUCAACUUGAAAAAUUUAUUAAGAACAAAUUAAACUAUAGAUUAGUGAAUUGUAGGAUUGUUGCUCUGACAUAUAUACAUUGUAGGUAUAAAGAUUUAAUGCAAGUUUGGUAUCUUUUGACAGUGAUUUAGAUGCUUAUAUACCCUUAUUGUAUGCCUUGAAAUGUACUUAUAUUUAUUGUGUGAUAUUUUUCAAAGCAUUUGUAGGAAACAUGAUUAAGCGUGAACGAGUAUAAAAGCUCUUGAAUUUGUUCAAUAUCCAUGCCUUAUGUAUAAAACUCAAUUAACCGGUGUUUUAGUUGCUUAAUAUACUUGCACUUAUUUAAAUUGAAAUCAUCUAAGUAUAUAAUAUUAAUAUUUUAUUUUAAUGUUUGAUUUUACUGAUAUUUGACUGACUUUAAGGGUGGGUGGGUAUUAAUUAAAAAGGUUUGCUUUUUUGGUAGUAUGAUUUUAACAGAUGGAUUGAAAUGUGUGAGAUGACUUAAGUGUUGUGCCUUGAUCUAGGUUGAAAUUGUGUAGAUCCUGUGAUAAAAUGUGACUGCUAAAAAACAAAAGUAGAUAUUGAAAUCUGUAGUGCCACUAUAGAAGCUUAUUGAAACGAGCCUACAUUACAUAUAAAGGUAUGAAAUGGUGUUGUUUGCAUGCUAUUAAAAUAUUUUUUUAUGGAAAAGAAAUGAAAAAUGAAAAAAAAAAACUGAAUUGGAACUUUGUAGGGUGGGUAGGGAAUACUAUGAAAUAUGAAUGUUCAAUGUGUUGGUAAUUUUUUGUGUGUGAUAUAAAUAAAAUUUUGACAAGAUAUAUAUGUAAAUAUCUUUUUAAUUGGAAGAAGAAAGAUAAAAAAAAAACUUAAAAAAACCUAAGGGGGGUGGGGUGAUUAUUAUCAGUCUUAAAUGUUCACAGUUAGCACCAUAAAAGACCAGCGAAAAGAAAAUCAUCAUUGUCCCUCCAACAGUAAAAGCAAAGAUGGUCAAACUAUAUUUAGCCUAUCUAGUUAGUUACUGAUGGUGUUUGUCAAGCUUUCACUCCUGGGAGCAAGUAAGCAUUUUACUUUCAUAGUUGCAGAAGACACUUGCAGUUUCAUGUAUUGAUAUUAAAACAAUUAUUAUAUUAGUUGAAGAUAACAAUGUUUCAAUUGAAUGAGAAUAAUGCAAAAUAAAAAGCUAUAACUGUGAUAGUGAAAGUUUAUACUUCAAGAUCAUAUUUAUAUUCCCAUUUGUCUUGUAAAAGAUUUUUCCUGAGAUUUUAAAAACUUUCAUCUAUAUACUUUAUAGCCAUACCAUAUGAAAAUUGAAAAAGGUAGAAAACAGUAGAUGUUGUAUGUAAAAAUUUGGAGGGGUGGGGUUGUAAUUUAAAUCAUUAGUAUUCCACAGUGUGAAGCAGUUGAAAAAGCAUCAAUGGUCCAUAAAGUUCCAGACAAUAUAAAAUUGAUAUAGGUGGUCUAAGUUUUUACUGAUCAAGUACAGUGGCAAGUACACAAAUUUUAUUACUCUCAUGAAAUUGAAAAGUUUUCCUUUUGUUUAUAGGAAUAUUGUUGUUGUAUCAUUGUAUUUGUUUUUAUUUUUCACUGUAACAAUUGUAUUUAUUCAGUAAAGAAAAGAUUUUGUAUUCUAUUUCUAUUUAUACCUAUCUUUGCUUUGUAGAAGGUUUUUUUAACCAACACUAAAUCAUUAUGCAAAAUCGGGAGGGUGGGAGAGUACAAAUUUCUUUCUUUUAUAGUCUAGACCAUAUUGGUUAAUGCUUGUGUUAUCUAAUGAGGUAUGGCAGUGUAGCUUUGUUGGUGUGUAACAUAUUCCAAUAUUUGACCAGUGCAUGCAUCACAUUACUUGUAUUAUUUAAUUUUGUAACUGCAUACAAUUAGCAAAACACAUGCUCCCACUUUAAUAAUAAGUGUCACCAGUUUAGUUUAAUUCUUGGAUAUUGGUUCUUUUUAAUCAUGUUGACCUUUGUUUUUUACAUACUAACCAUUUUCAUAAUCUGAUUAUUCCUUAUCAGUUAGUCUAGAAGUGUAGCUCUCAACUUGUAUGAUUUGUAUUGUCACUUUCUGAUGGCUGAAGUUAUUUCUAUUCAUAAGGUCUUUCCUUAUGUAUUAUAACAGGUUGGCUGCUUUUGAAUUUGUUUUCAAUAUUUUUAAUCAUUUAUCCACAGCUCUUGCUUUUUGUACCUAAAUAGUAGGCAAGUGAAGGUAUGCAUUAAUUUUUCCCAUUAUUUAUAUUGUGUAUGUUUGUUGAUGUUUAAAUUGAUUUACAUAAUUUUUUUUCAAAGUAUUGUAAAUAUCAGCAAUAAGUGGAUUUUUUUAAAAGGUUUUAAGAGUUGAGAAUAAUAAAUAAAAGUGGUGUGAAAAUUUUAAAGGGGGGGUGUAUAAUAAUUCUUAUUCACAGUAUUGACCGUUCAAGACCAGUGAAAAGUGAAGCAAUAUUGUCCCUCCAUGAAAAAAAAAUGUUGCCAAAACUGAAACCUGCCUGUCUAUUAGACUUUUGAUGCUGUUUGUCAAGCUUUUGCUUUGGGAGGCAGGUAAACAUUGAUUUGUUUUUGUCAUGCUUAAAAAAUUAGAUAAAAAGAACAAUUAUUUUACUACUAUAAAAAUGUUAAUGUCUAAAACAUAUUACAUAUGAGCAUAAAUGAUAACAUAACAGUAAUAGUGAUCAUUCUAUUUAUUUUAUUAUUCUGCUAGUCUUUUGAAAGAUCUUAUCUCAGAUUUAAAGGUAAAUAGAUUAAGACAUAUCAUAUUGAUGUUUGAAAAGAGGUAGAAAAACGUACUUGUAUAUGAAAUUAUGGGGGAUGGGGACUGUUAAUAAUCAUUAGUUUUCCAGUGUGCAUCAUCAUCAGAAGCAAGGUCCAUCUUAAAGCUCCAGACAAUAAAUAAGAUUGUAAUGAGCAUGUCGCAUAUAAAGCUAUUUCUGAGGAGCUUCAAGUACGGUGGCAAGUACACAUAUAUUUAUCAGUUGCAUACUUACCAAUAUAACAGAUCCAAUUUUAUUGCACAAUACUAAUUAAAUGAUUCCUUCUAUUAGUUUGAAUAUUUAUAAUGAAUACAGGCAUUUUACAUAAGAAAAUGUUGCAAUUAUAUUGUAAUGCAAGGAUUUUAUAUUCAUAUUUUUUAUUGCGAAUUUAUUUUCACUACAAUUGUAAUGAUGUUGGGUGGUUGGGGUUUUUGACUAACAUUGAUUUGUUUAUCUCAAAAGCACAGAUUGGAUUGAAAAUCCUGUAGUAUCAUGUCAGUAUGAAGAAAGUGGAAAAGUUGGUUGAACAUAAGUGGUAAAUUGUUAUCUGUAGUAGUCAUUUAAAUUGUAAACACUUCAGAAUUUACAUUUUAUUUUGACCUACUUUGGUCACUUUGCAGUGAAAAUCAUAGAAAGAUAUGCAACAAUUAUAAUUAUCUGAUGAGGAAUGACUAGUUUUGUUCUUUUAGAUGUGUUAAAAAUUCCUCGCUAUCUCAUCACUUUUGUUUUAUUAAUCUUGGCUUUGUAGAAAGUUUUUAAACAUGCUGUAAAUCAUGAUACAGGAAGGGGGAGAGGGAGUUCACAUUUCUUUCUUUUGCAGUAUAGCCUUUAUUGGUUAACCCUUGUGGUAUCUAAUGAGGUAUGGCAGUGAAGCUUUGUUCUUAUUAUUGUGUUACAUAUUCCAGUAUUUUACCAAUGCAUGCAUCACAUAAUUUUAUUUUUGUAACUGCAUACAAUUAGCAAAUCACAUGCUCCCACUUUAAUAAGUGUCACCAGUUUAAUUACAUUCUUGGAUAAUGGUUCUAUUUAGUCAUGAUUUUUUACUAACCAAAUUCAUAAUCUGAAUAUUCCUAGAUAAUCUGCUAGUGAAGCUUUUUUUACCUACAUGAUCUUGUGUUUGAGUGUGCAAAUUGCCAUUAUAAAUAUGGAAUAAUGGGGUGGGGGAGUUCACAUUUUUUUCUUUUGUAGUAUACUUGACCUCUAUGGUCAUACUGGACCGCUAUGGUCAAUGUACACAGUUAUCUGGUGAGGAGUGAUGGUGAAGCUUUGUUCUUGUUGGUGUGUUAGAUAUUCCAGCUAUUUACCAGUGCAUGUAUGGCGUAACUUUUAAUUUGUACUUGCAUACACUAAGUAAAACAUAUGCUCCCACUUUCAUACUAGCUAUCACAACUUCUUGGAUAAUGGUUAUAUUUAUUCAUGUUGAUCUUUGUUAUAUUUAUUUACUAACAACUUCCGUGAUCUGAAUUAUCCUAGCUAGUGUAGCUUUUAACUUUUUGUUGACAAUGUUGAGAUUUUGUUGUCUUACUAUUAGUUAUACUUGAUAUUGUUUUCCAUUUUGAUGUUUUUUCAUCCUUGUAUUUAAAACACAGGAACUGCGCUUGGAUUGCAAUCGGUUGUAUUGUUUGAUUUUUUUCUAUAGCACUAGCUUCAAGUUUCUACAAGAUAUAUAAGCCAAUUUUAGAUUAUGCAUUUUCUAGUUGUAAUAUUUAAAAACCUAUAUCUAUUUUAUUCUAUUUAUAACUUUUUAGGGAUUUUUUUUUAAUAAUCCCAUAAAUAACAUUAGGUUUGCAGAGAGUUUUUAUUUAGGUCGCUGUAUCUGUGUGCCAUGUUUAUGAAAAUGGACCAGCCAAUGAUGUAAGAAAAUACUUUUGGGAGAAUAAAAGGAGGUGAUUUUGGGAGCCUGACCUGGAAGUAAUGUUUUUUUUUAACAUAUUUGUUUAUAUUAUAUCAAUAGAAGAAAUUUUUCAACAAAAAGUUCAAUGGGCUUGAAAUUUCUUUUAUCUAAGAUUAACUAUUGAUUCAUAAGUUAAAUCUUUAUAUGCCAAGAUUAUGAAGAUAUAUAGAAAUUGAAGAAAAUGUAAUUAAAGGGAUGGGGCGAUGAUAAUAAUUUUUAUUGUUCAGUGUAAACCAUAUAAGUCCAGUGAAUAGAAUAGCUACAAAGUCCUCUGUAUAAACCUUGGAAGGUAAACAUGAAAUAUGCCUGUCUAGUUAGAUAUUGAUGCUGUUCCGCGAAAGGCAAGUAGACAUUAAGUUGUUACUUUCAUACUUUGAAGUAUCUUGCAACGUUUUUUGUUUUUUUGUAACAAUUAUGUAGGAGUUGUAAAUGACUGUUUCCUUUGAAUGAGAAAACUGCAAAGUUGCAUUUAAAUGUAUAUAAUGGAUUAGCAAUUACUUAAUAUUAAGAGGUUGAAAAAUACAAUUUAUAUUAUGUAUAAUAGAGGGGGGUAGGGGAAUGAUGAUAAUCAUUAGUAUUCCACAGUGUACACCAUUAUAAAAGGCGGCGAGUGUCCAUCAUAAAGUUCCCGGCUAUAUAAAAUUGAAACUGGCAUGUCUAGUAAGCUGUUGACUCUUAGCUUUCAAGUAGAGUGGCAAGUACACAUUAAUAUAUUACUUUCGCUACUUUCAUGCAAAUGAAAUGUUUUAUCCUUACUGGAUUUUUUUUUGAUUUUUUUCAUUCUUUGUAUUAAAGAUUGUUACUGUAGAACAAUUCUAAUGUAAAAUUGUAAUGCAAUGUUUUUUUUUAGUAGUGUUAUUUUUGAGAUUAUAUCUUUUUAUACUAGUAGUUUACUGAUGUGGGUGGGUGGGGUGAAUUAUAUGUUCCCACUUUAUUUGCCAGAAAGAAGUAAAAGUUGAGCUGAGAUCAAUUGAAGAAAAUGGUAUGAAUUGUCAGAUUUAUUUCUGUCUUGUUAGUUUUGCAUUUUUAGUUUUAAACAUUUUGAUGUACAUUUGUAAAAAAGGAAGCAGAGUUCUUUAUUAGAUAAAAUCAAGAAAAUUUAUUUGUCAAGAUUACAGGUGAAAGUGGCACAUAAACUAACUAUAAAAUAAGAAAUUAUUUGUUGAUAUUUCAUCAAAAUGGGUAGGGUGGGGAUUUGACUAAUAUUGAAAUUUUUUCUCAGAAAGAAGCAUGAAAUGGAUUUAAAAUCUGAAGUGUAGACAACGGUAAAAUUAUUAAAUGAUGUGAGCGUUUUUAAACCUCAAAGGGUUCAAUAAACAAUAAUAUAAUUUGUAUACACUUAGGAAAGAAGAUUUAGAUUUUUAUUUUGACCUAUUUGUUAAUCUUGCAAUGGAAAUGACAAUGUUUUGCAGUAAAUGAUGUUUUUCACUUUGGAAUAAGGGGGUGGGUAGUUCACAUUUAUUUCUUUUGUAGAACAUUUAUAUCUGGUGAGGAAUGAUGGUGUAGCUUUGUUCUUGUUGGUGUGUUACAUAUUCCAGUAUUUUACCAGCAUGCAUCACUUUAAUUGAUUUUGUACUUGUAUACACUUUAGCUAAAAAAUAUGCUCUGUGACUGUCUUUCACAGAUGUCACCAGAUUAGUUAAUUCUUGGAUAAUGGUUCUUUUAAUUGUGUUGAUCUGUUUUAUAUUAUACUAACCAAUUUCAUAUUCCUAGAUUAUCAGCUAGUGCAGCAUUGAACUUUAUGGAUAUAUAAUAUAUGUGUAGUGUCACGUUCUAAAUGCUGAAGUUGCUUUUUAUUUUGAGGUCUUUAAUCCUUAUUUAUGAUACCAGGUCCGCUGCUUUUAUUUUGCAUACUCGGCAUUAAUGAUUUAUACCCAGCACAUUUAUGUAUAGAUAUUUGGUUUGUCACAAUCUAAGCUUUUUAAUUUGAGGUCUUUAUUGAUAAUCAUUCUGUAUUAUAACAGGUCAGCUGCUUUUGAUUUGUGUAUAUGUCGUCAUUAAUGGUUUAUCCAUAGCACUUUGUUUAUAUACAUAUGCAAGUUGGGUAGCAGAAAUUUUUAUUUCAGCAAGCAUGAAUCCGUGAUGGAGAAGGUAGAAGUAAAUAUAUGACCAAGGAAGGCAAAUAAGAUAACUAUGCAAGGGUCCUGAUCUUUGGCUUACUAAAAUUGGCAUGCAAGGAAGUGAGACAACACUGCCAGCUGGUCAGAGCAGAGGAUAAACCUACCUCCCUCUCUCUCAGUUUGGCUUGAAAGGAGAGAGUAAGGGUUGGGUAGCCGGCUCGCAGCAAUAACCUGUGCACAUUAGACUUCCAAAAUAUAAAUGUCUUUUAGCAAAUUUGUUAGAAUUAAUUGAUCUUUCAACUAUUGUUCAGUGUUCAACUUAAAUAAUGCUCAUUAUGGAUAAUUUGGUAACAAACUAAACAUUAUAUUUAAAAAAAAAAUGCUUCCAAAAUAUAAAAGAACGUUCUCAAAAUGUUGUAUUCAGUAACUUUAUUUAGCAACAUCAAUAAUGGUAAUUUUAAACCACUUUAAUAAGCUAAAAAUCUAUAUAAAAAGACUAGAUAAAAAAGGAAAAAGAUUUUGAAGAAAUGGAAUGAUUUAAAUAUUGUUAAUUGUGCAGAGUACUAGUAAAAAAGAAUUGUAAAUAUUAUUAAAUUAUUGAAUAAAAUUUAUCAUAAAACAUAA
rnacentral:lncRNA from 1 species